rnacentral:rRNA from 1 species
GACGAACGCUGGCGGCGUGCUUAACACAUGCAAGUCGAACGAUGAAGCCGGAGCUUGCUCUGGUGAAUUAGUGGCGAACGGGUGAGUAACACGUGAGUAACCUGCCCUUGACUCUGGGAUAACUGCUAGAAAUGGUAGCUAAUACCGGAUACGACCCUCGGCGGCAUCGCCAGGGGGUGGAAAGAAUUUCGGUCAAGGAUGGACUCGCGGCCUAUCAGCUAGUUGGUGAGGUAAUGGCUCACCAAGGCGACGACGGGUAGCCGGCCUGAGAGGGUGACCGGCCACACUGGGACUGAGACACGGCCCAGACUCCUACGGGAGGCAGCAGUGGGGAAUAUUGCACAAUGGGCGCAAGCCUGAUGCAGCAACGCCGCGUGAGGGACGACGGCCUCGGUU